AACAGGCAGCCCGACGAGAGAACAAACUACCAAUUAAAGAGCGACAAUUCAGGGCCAGAGAAUAGGAACAGAAUAGAAGCCGGUGCCGAAAGGUCAUGUUUAAGGGCUGAUUCCAAGCUGGUGAAUGGAGCUGCUGAAGGCAGCUUUGAGAAGAGAAACCACAAUUUGCUCUCAUGAGCCUGCAGGAACCAGCUCCAGAUCACCUCAGAGAUACUGAGAGAUAUAAAGAUGAAUAAGAUACUUCCCUCUCCUCAAGGAGUUUACAGUUGAUUGAAGAGUGGUGUGGAUGACUUAGAGCAAGACAUUUACCCUCAUUGUCUUCAUAAAUAAAAUGCAGACCUCAAGAGAACGUCCAUGUUUUUGUUUGCUGUCUUGGAAACCUGUCUUGUUACCUUGAGUACAAGGUCAAGUUAACAUACUGGAUGAUGAGAGACAGUCCAGGAGUCCUCAUGAUCCCAGAUGACAACCAUUCCCACUCAAUCAGUCCUCAGUCACCUUAAGGAUGACCACAGACAUGAGUGAGGCCAAAUGACCCAGGCUCUUCCUGGCCCAGAUCUGCAGAACCACCCAUCACACUGGCUGUGUUGGAAAGCGAUGAAAUGGGACUAGGAUCAGACCGUGUGCAGAAAAGGAUUUUUCUCAUCUUUGAAUCAACAUAACUCAGAGUCUGUUUCCAAGAAAUUGGUUUGGAAGUGCAAAUUCUACAAUUUUUCUACUUCCCUGUUACCCUGAUACAAGAAGUUGGCAGUCUGGACCCCAGAAGAGGAAUCUCACUGGAACCUGACCAUGUUGACACCCUGAUCUUGGGCUUCCAAGCUUAAACUCCAUGAAAAGGAGGGCGAGAGAGACAAGACAGUGGGAAGAAAGAGGAGAAGCAGAUGUGAAAGGCUAUCCCUCACUUCAUGCUCUUCAUUCCAUGUCAUCUGUGAUCUGUUCAUCUUUCACUUACUCAGCAAUGCUGAGUAUGAUGAACAGAGUAGUUAAGAAACUCCCCAAGGUCACACAGCUCGGUGUGGGUCCCUCCAGAGCACUCUGCCCUCCUGACAGUCACAAAGAUCCUGCUACUCCACUGGCCAGGCCUAGGCUGCUUCUUAAUGCACAGCUAGGUGAGCUCAGACCAAACAAUGCCUGACACAAGCCCCCCAACCUCUCUUGACUCUUAUGCCUGCUGGCUGUUACCUUAGACCCCCGCUUCACCCUCUUCUGAGUCUCAGUUUCCCUAUCUGAAAAUGAAGUGGCCGGACUGCAGCAUCCUGGGAUUUGAGCCCCUGCAGUGCAGGGCAGGCUGUUUGAAUGAAAGGAGCAGCAGUGAGAAGCCUCUCCAGGCUCCCCCCAACCCCCAGAGCCGGAGGCUUUGCAGCUGUCCCAGGCCACACCAGCCCCUCUGGGACUCCCUGCCCAUCUCAGGGAGAGCAAACUCACUGGCUCUCCCCUCCAGCCUCAGCAUUCUUAUUAAGAGUCACUGACGACAGGGUUUUCUGGCAAAGUGUGGGUCCACAGGCUUCAAGAGGUCCUUGAGAACAAGCUCCGGGCAGAACAAGAACAAACCGCGAUCCAGAGAACAGUGAAGAUUCCUUCCAGCCAGCACCGAAGGCAGAGACGGUGUUCUCCAGAGGCUCCUUCCUAAGCGGGUGUUGAGGGAGAAGAAAUAUUCUCUGCUCCCUUCUCGAAUUAAUCGCAGUCAUCUGGGGUCAGCCCUCCUUCACCCCAAGAAUCCAGCCAGGAUGAAAGCUGUUCUCUCCUGUGUCCAGACGGGCCCCCCCCGGAGCAGUGAGUCUGAGCUCAGGUGCGUUCCAUUUUUGGCUCUUUCGUUGCCAACUAAGUGGCCACUCACAUUGUCUCUCUAGGCUCAGCUCCGCAUCUGUAAGGCGGGAAUAAAUCACAUUUUCCUUGCAGAGUAAUUUUGAGCAAUAUGAAAUGAUGAAUAAAAGAAAAUUUC